CCAUAAAAUGGAAUUUUUUAGCUGAUAUUACAAAUUCAUACAGUACUUUUGAUGGCUAAGCAUGAUGAGAGUUGCAGUUCAAAACGCUGCACCUUCCCAUUUUUUUGUAUGAUUUUUACAUGCAAGUGCCGGAAUAAUCACUGCAUGUAGGCAUUAGAUUUUCCACGCGCUACAUGGCACGACAAUAAAAGUCUCCAACUGUGUAACCAAAAUAUUGUUAUACACUGUUCAUGGCAAGGAGUUUUCUUCAAGAGAAAUAUUUAUCUUAAAAAAAAAAAGGUAUUAGAGGGCUUCCUCAGACUAUGAAAUUAACGGUUUGCCAACUGUGGGAUAAUGCAUUCAGAGUUCUCCAGCCUGUAGUUUUAUUUUAACAUCUUAAGGACGGAGCCAAUUGUACAAGUUCUGAUCAAAACAAAACCUGGAAUUUGAGCUAUAUUCUGUUCAACCAUAAUUUACCUCUUUCAUAUUAAGUGCACCAAACACAUAUAUAAUUGUAAUACGAAUAAAAUCUAAAAAUUUGUGAGAAAUUAACAAAUGCUAUUGUUUUAGUUCACCAUGGCAUUUUACCCUGCAGGCUUUUUAAAUACAUUACUGCAUAGGAACUCCUCUAGCGGCAGUUACUCAGAUGGCCACUAGAUAUGCUCCCUGGACCCAUUCUGCACAUGUUCAGCAUCUCCAUGCUCUACAUGGAGGUGCUGAACAUUUCUCAUAAAGAUGCAUUGAUUUAAAUUUGAUGAUCUCAGUCAAGGAGGCGAGGAGACUUUGGUGGUGCUGUUAAUAAGGUGAGUAAAGGCAGGACAGGGGUUUGGGGCCUAAG